UAGGGAAUAUUGCAAAAUGGGCGAAAGCCCGAUGCAGCAACGCCGCGUGGGCGAUGAAGGCCUUCGGGUCGUAAAGCCCUUUUUGAGGGGAUGAGGAAGGACAGUACCCUCAGAAUAAGCCUCGGCUAACUACGUGCCAGCAGCCGCGGUAAAACGUAGGAGGCGAGCGUUAUCCGGAUUUACUGGGCGUAAAGCGCGUGCAGGCGGAUUGGAGAGUUGGAUGUGAAAGCUCCCGGCUUAACUGGGAGAGGUCGUUCAAUACUUCCAGUCUUGAGUGCAGUAGAGGGAAGUUGAAUUCCGGGUGUAGUGGUGAAAUGCGUAGAUAUCCGGAGGAACACCAGUGGCGAAAGCGGCUUCCUGGACUGUAACUGACGCUCAGAUGCGAAAGCUAGGGUAGCAAACG
rnacentral:rRNA from 1 species